UGGGUGGGCCUUAGUUAUUGUUUCUGUGAACCACAAGUGUCUCCUUUAUAUGCCGUCUUUGCUUCUAUAUAGGGGAACUUUGUAGCACAAGCCUUUGUGUCUUUGUUUGUUGGGAAAGACAUUUUUUUGAGCCCACAGUAUUCAUGUCAUUUUAAUCUGUAUCUUUUCAGUCCAUCAUUUGGCUCCAUAAAACUUUGGAUUAAUCUUUGCAUCGUCACAACGGAUGAAACUGAGUUGCAAUUUGCAGCCCUGCAACAAUGGCUGACUGCAUUCCAGAUAACACAACCAGCGUUAUCCAGAAUCCCAAGGCUGACCUACAGGAUGGUACCAAAGUUUCACCUGAGUCCCCAUCAGCAGCUGUGAUCAAAGUGAGACCUGCAGACCUGGAACUGAUUCGAAACUUGUCAAAGUCAGACUCUGACCUGUUGGCGUCUCCGGUCGGAGAGGAGGACGGAGGUCUGGGAAACCGCAGUGGCUCUGUGGCUAACUGCAGUUCUGGGCAGCCGUCCAUCGAGCGCAUGCCUUCCUUUGCAUCUGAGUGGGAUGAGAUUGAGAAGAUCAUGACGUUGAUUGGGGCUGGCAUUGAAACAACAAAGAACCAGCAUCCCAAGCCAAGCCCAGAUGGGGCCUGUGGUAAAGCCCUGGACCAGCCGGUCGGAGAGUGGCUGGAGCACGUGGGGCUGCCGCAGUACGAGAGCAAGUUCCUGCUCAAUGGCUUUGAUGACCUACGAUUCAUGGGAAGUAACGUGAUGGAGGACCAAGAUUUAAGAGACAUGGGGAUCACUGACCCAGGGCACAGAAAGAAAAUCCUCCAUGCAGCACGUGGCUUGCCCAAGGUGAAACCACUGGGUUGUGAUGGCAGCACAUCUUUAUCCUCUUGGUUGGACGUCCUUGGCCUGCAUGAGUAUCUUCCCAACUUUCUCUCUAAUGGCUACCGAACCCUGGAGUGUGUGAAGAACUUGUGGGAGCUGGAAAUUGUCAAUGUUAUUAAGGUCGGGCCCUUAGGCCACAGGAAGAGAAUCAUUGCAUCUCUAGCAGAGAGACCCUAUGAAGAAGCUCCCUCUAAAUCCCGUCGGCUGUCCCCAAUUAUGUUCCAUGACCUCCUAUCCCAGACCACUUCGCCCCUCAGUCAGUUGGACCCCUACACCAGUCGCUCCAUGGACAUGCUCCUCCCCCUGACCGAGUCGGACCGGAGGCGAAGAGCAAUCGAUCAAGACUGCAGCAUUUCGCUGCGAUCCUACAAUGAGAGGCCGCGCUCUGUAGACAGACACAGUGAACGACAUAAAGAGUCUCGAUUAAACCUCCGGCCGCCGAGCCACUCUGCCACAUACGCCACCGUGUCCGCCUGGCAUCACCAGCCUGAGAAGCUCAUCCUGGACUCCUGCAGGUACGAGGCAACAUAUUUAGGAUCAUUGAUAAUCAGGGAUUUACGGGGGAUUGAGUCCACACAAGAUGCCUGUGCUAAAAUUAGGAAAUCAAAGGAUUCCAAAAAGGGCCCAGUUGUCAUACUGUCCAUCACCUACAGAGGUGUCAAGUUCAUUGAUGCUGCCACUAAGAUGAUAGUUGCAGAGCAUGAAAUCAGAAACAUCUCGUGUGCCGCCCAGGACCCGGAUGACCUCUGUACCUUUGCUUACAUCACUAAGGACUCUAAGAGUGGCCACCACUUCUGUCACGUCUUCAGUACUGUGGAAGUCAUCCAAACAUAUGAGAUCAUCUUAACACUGGGACAGGCAUUUGAGGUGGCUUAUCAGAUGGCAGUUCAGUCCAGGGCGAGACACUAUGUGCCUCCAACAUCUCUGGGCUCAGAGUUCAUAGAAACCAAAACCAGCCGCCCAGUGUCUCAGUCGUGGAACAGCACGAGAAGAUCAGCGGGCGCCCCUCUGCUCGAAUGCCGCUGCUGUCACUGUCACACGUGUACUACCCACCGUCCUUCCUUCCUCCCGUUGCACUCUGUUAGCCCUGGAAUCCAGAUCGACCCCCUGGAGAUGGAUGCCGACAUGCAGUCGCUGGGCAGCACCACCUGGCUUUGCGACCAGCGGGACUCCAACAGGCGUCCCGUCAGCACCAAGUACGAGACCACCAUAUUCUGAGGCCGGACUCUCUCCCCGCCCAGCUCCCUGCCACCCCCACGGCCCCCUACCCCCGCUUCUCACUGCACCUCCCUCGUACUUUUUUCCUCUACCCUUGCAUCCGGUUCUCCGGUCUUCUCUUUCUCUCACGGAGAAACACACAAACACACACACACUCACAGAGAUAUAUACAUGUGAGCCCCGUGCCUUCUCACUGUGAUGGUAUAGCAUCCCUCAGGGCUGCCUCCUCCUGCACCUUCCUUUGCCCCGCCCAGCGACCCACGCCGACCUCCUACAUGCCAUGACAAACGCUCCUGCGGCUCCCCCCCGAGCUCCCACAACAUCCCUGGCAGCCCCUCCUUCGCCUGUUGCUGCUGCAGCUAAUGGUGGAGCCCUGGAACAGAUGAUCCUGGACUGAUCUCAUUUUACAGUGGCCCUGCUCUCUCAACCAAACUGCCUCUUCCUCCUCAUCCUCCUCUUCUUGACAACUUGCAUCUGCCUCCAAUUCCCCGAUAGCUCCCAGAGGUUGCAUCUUUAUUCUUUUUCUUCUUUCAAGACAUUUUUUUUUGGUUUUCUCCACAGGCAAAACAACCUGUCCUGUCUUACCAGGCAUCUACCACUGUGAGGCACUAUGAGGAGGCUGCUUUGCUAGCAUGGGAUGCAAGAUGGACAAAUAACAUAUAUAUAUAUAUAAAUAUAUAUAAGUGAAAGACAAAAACAGCAACAUGCAGCAAACAACCUGUAUUUUUUUACUCAUUUGUACAGUACUCAUAGUAAGACCACAUAUGGAUUGGUCACAAAUCUAUCACUGAUGUCUGAACUCAAAGCGGACUGAGAACUGAAACCUCCUUACACAAUAUUGCAGUAACUAUAAUUAACUAAAAAAAUCCCACCUAAUCCCCUAUCCUGCCAAACUCCAGCACCCAACAGCUGCACGCCUACAAACAGUUUUUAACAAACAGAAAGGAGAAGAAAAAAAAAGCUACAUUUUGGAUUUCCUGCUGUAUCUAACUGUGACUGGCUGGGAAGAUGUGUAGAUGAUGGUGCAGGUUUGUUGAGAUGAGUCUGGCCUUGUACUGCCCAGUGCCUGUCAGCAUUAAUGGUAGCGCUGAGAGCCUGCAAAUCUUCUUCAUUUAAAAAGCAAAACUAAAAGCACUGUGUUUAAAACAAAAAAACAGCACUAUCCCUUUUAAAACUUUGUCUUCUUACAGUGCAAGUGUAGUAUUAGUGCAUUUUGUGAUACUUUUUUAAAGAUGGGAGGUAAUUGAAAACAGAUUAUAAGUAUCUCGACAGAGGUAACAACAUAAAGAGAAGACAAUGAAAAAGAAGAAAAAAUCAAAAGUAAGCAUAUUUAGGAUGUUGGCAGUAGUCCAAAGCUUUACUUAUUUUUGUAAUCUACAAUCAAAGAUCAGUUCAUUGAAGAAAUAGUUUAGGACUUUUGAAAUGAUGAUAUGAUAAAAAGAAAAAAGACAUUAAUAUCUUACCUGCAGUAAAAAAGUCUUUUGGUGUCUUCAUUCAUACAAACAAAAAAUGGUCUUGUCCUGAAGGCUGAAGUUAAAAAGUAAUAUGAGAGGGGUAAUUACCAAAAUGGACUUUUCUUUCCCAAAACAUCAAACUGAAAAAUGUUGUUGUUUUACAUACUUCUCUGAUAUCACUUUUCUGCUUGACAGUUAUUUAGAUUGAAACUGAUGAGUAUUUACAUAGAGAAUUGGGUCAAAGGAGAUGUGCCAUCAAUGGCCUUCCUGUGUGAAGCACAUGCAUCCAUUUAUAAUCUGUACUUGCUUCACCCUUGACAAUGUGCGAUGGGUAGGGAUGGUAUUGGUGCAGACUUCCAACAGUAUUUGGGUGAGAGGCCUGGUGCUCUUUGCAUGUGCUACAUUUCUGGUCUUGUAAUGUAGGUUGGACAAGCAAAUCCCUCUUCUUUAGUGCUAAGUUUGCACUUUUCUGGCACGAUGUAAUGAUGCUGUUCGCUCUCCCCAACUUUUAGCUCUCAGACAAAAAUAGAGGCUCUUCUCUAACAUUUUUUUAUUGUUACUUCAAGACCAGAACCAAAAAAAUCUAAUUAAUUCUUUCUGAACUUAAUGAAGUUAUCCUUAAAUUUCAGUUCAUGCAUUCUGACGUGUUUGCAUAACUUACUGAAUUUUGUUUUAAGCUUUGACUUCAAGAUCAGGUUUUGUUUAGUCUAAAGCUUUCCACAGAUUUGAAAUCAAGCAUAUUACUCUUUGGAAGCUCUGGGCAGAAACACUUUACAGGUUCUGCUCUCUGUACAUUUUUAGUAAAAAUCAUUAUGUAAAUAAUCCUCAAUUUCUAUGUAAAUAAUUUUCAAGUGCUGUGUCAAUGGUUGAAAGGUUUAUAAAAUAGCGUUCUCACAUAAAUUAACUUAUUUUUAGAAAAACAAUGCAGAUCAAAAAUUAUUAUUUUUACAAACUUUAGCUUUACAUGAGAUCAUUACUAUGACUAUUUCCAUGGUCCAUUUUCAAUUGCUGUUACAUUCAGGAAGUUAAUUGUUGUUGCACCUCCUCAUAUGUCUAUUUAGAGAGUAAAAAAUAAAAAGUUUUUAUUUAUAUAAUCUCCAAACACAAGCAUUUAUUUUGUUUAAAAGUUCUUAAAAAGACUUUGCACAAAUUGCUGUGACAUAUUAGAGAUUGGGUUUUUUUAAGAUGGUAGAAGUCCCCUUAGUGUUUUUAGCUGUAACUUUCAGCCUCCAGGACUAACCAAGAUGUUUCCUGUUAACAACCUUCUAACAUAACCUCGCUUCAAAAAUCCUGAGCUGUCUCUUUAACACUAAUAUAUUUAUGAGCCUCCGGCAAAGAUUGAUGCACAUUUCCCUUCAUGGUAAGCUUAUUAUACAUGAUUACACGUAGCUUUCUAUUUAACUCCAUUUCCAAAUUUGGUACAGUACAAGUAAAGUAUGUCACUUCACGUAACUGAGAGUGUUCCGUUUUUUCCGUCUAGUUAAUGCAAAUAGUAUGUAAAGCUGGAAACAACACAUGGUUAUGUUUUAAACCAAGUAUUUUCCUCCUGCACUGUGAUUGAAAAAAGAAAAAAAAGAGAUGCUGAUUGUGACGAUGAGACAUGACUGGGUGCCCCCUCCUGUGCACUGCCAACCGUGUGUGCUGUUCGCUUUGUUUCUGUCUGUCCUUGUGGACGUUUGGACUGCUACAUCGCUGGCCGCUGUCCUUGUUUCUGUGUGCCGCAGGAGGAUUGAGAGAGUUCUUCUCCAAAGACAGUGUGUCUGGAGACUGUAUAGAUGUAGCUGCUGUCUGUGCGGCACUGUGGUUGUGUCAUUGCCACUUUGUUCUGACUUUUAUCUGUUAGCUUCCACUGAUGAUGCAUGUUUGGCAGUGUCUUUGUGUUUUGUCCCCUCUGAUGCAUUUGGCCUGAGCAGUCUCUGUAUGUACUGUACUGUAGCAGCGUCUCGUCUCCGUUCUUUCAUCUGCCAUAUGUCUUUUAUGUUCCCACUCUCUGUUUACAUGCUAAUUCAUCACCCAUCCCUCCGUUUCCAGCCUUCUCACCAUUUUUGUCACUCGUCCCCUCCAUUUUGUGUGUCUCCAGGACAACCUGCUCUCGUAUGGCUGCACACUAUAAAAGAAAAAAAAAAAAGCAUUACACUUUAAUGAAGAGCAGCUAUUUAAAGCGAGAAUUGGUAGCAUGAUGUGGCUGUGCAUGUACCUGUCCUCUUUUUAACAUUCGUAUUCUCUCUGUGUAGCUCGCUCCAACGUUCAAGUUUCCGGACACCAAGCUGUGAGUUGAAGGGGAGCAGCCGAUGCGAGUGUGUUUGCGUGUGUUGAAUUAGUGCACAAAGCAGUGGGAAAAUGGUUAAGAGAGAGAGAGAGGGAGAAGGGGCCAACCAGCGUUACUCUGACAUUUAGAUCUCACUCUAGAUCUCACCUCCUGCUCCUCCACUGCCCCCGAGAUGAAUUCCCAACUCACAGUCAAAAGGUAACUUGUGGUCCCACAUCACUGGCUGAACAGGAUCUGUAUAUCACUCCUGUCUUGAGAAAGGUCAAGUCUACUUCCUGGCCUCCGUGUCACUUACGGAUUUUGUCAUGUAGGUACUGUUAUGUAUAGAGCACUGUAGACCGUUAGUAACAUAGACCAUUAAUGAGAAUUUCUGUUGAUUCAGGUCUACUGAAGAUAGCAAGAGCGCGGUUUGAAAAAGGGUAACAAAAAAGAAAAAAUAAACUGUACCAGCAUACAAUGCUUUGCCCAUAUUUGUGGUCAGAGUACGGUUUGUUGUUGAAAAUGUGAUACUGUUUCAAAUUUCAAAGCAAUAUUAUAUUCAUGAUAUUAAAUAAUACAAAGACUAAACAAACCCUCCUAA